AUGAACGCUGGCGGCAUGCUUCACCCAUGCCAGUCGAACGGGAAGUGGUGUUUCCAGUGGCGAACGGGUGAGUAACGCGUAAGAACCUGCCCUUGGGAGGGGAACAACAACUGGAAACGGUUGCUAAUACCCCGUAGGCUGAGGAGCAAAAGGAGAAAUCCGCCCAAGGAGGGGCUCGCGUCUGAUUAGCUAGUUGGUGAGGUAAUAGCUUACCAAGGCGAUGAUCAGUAGCUGGUCCGAGAGGAUGAUCAGCCACACUGGGACUGAGACACGGCCCAGACUCCUACGGGAGGCAGCAGUGGGGAAUUUUCCGCAAUGGGCGAAAGCCUGACGGAGCAAUGCCGCGUGGAGGUGGAAGGCCUACGGGUCGUCAACUUCUUUUCUCGGAGAAGAAACAAUGACGGUAUCUGAGGAAUAAGCAUCGGCUAACUCUGUG
rnacentral:rRNA from 1 species